UACGGGGGGUGCGAGCGUUGUUCGGAAUUAUUGGGCGUAAAGCGCGUGCAGGCGGUUUUGUAAGUCUGAUGUGAAAGCCCCGGGCUCAACCCGGGAAGUGCAUUGGAUACUGCAAGACUUGAGUUCGGGAGAGGAGAGUGGAAUUCCUGGAGUAGGGGUGAAAUCCGUAGAUAUCAGGAAGAACACCGGUGGCGAAGGCGGCUCUCUGGACCGAUACUGACGUUGAGAUGCGAAAGCGUGGGUAGCAAACAGG
rnacentral:rRNA from 1 species